GCACUCACUUCGGCAGCACAGAUACUAAAAUUGGAACGAUACAGAGAUUAGCAUGGCCCCUGCACAAGGGUGACAUGCAAAUUCGUGAAGCGUUCCAUAUUUUU
rnacentral:snRNA from 1 species